rnacentral:misc_RNA from 1 species
UGUGGGAGCGAGCUUGCUCGCGAUGACGGUCUUGCAUUCAGGAUCAAGGUUGACUGACCGGACGCUAUCGCGAGCACGCUCGCUCCCACA